CACAGGCGCGAUGCGUCAGGGGCGGUUGUCCGUGAAAACUCGCAUGCGCCAAAGUCGGGAAUACGAAGAACAUCGUGCCGAACCUAAACCAGCCGGGUGCGUAAAACGUUUUGGUGCGCAUGCGUCCCGCUCGGGUCAUUCUUGAGAAAAAGCUCACCUCUUUGACAUCGGGAUUAUGAAUAUCGUGUGACUGGAUGUAGACAGCAAAACCAACAAAGGCAACAGCCAAUGAAAGGAGGCAGAAGAAGAAGGAGACCAGAGGUGGAUGUCGCUCCAGGCAGAUACGCAGGGAGGCCAGUAGGGAGCAGAGGACCAUGGUAAGCCCUAAAGCCGCAGCUUCACGAAGGCCGCCGGCGUCGGAGGACGGUACUGUCCCUUUAAGAGGAAGUAACGCCGCCGAUUCCUCUUCCUUUGGCGGGGCGACCCUAUUCGAUACUUUCGAGCAUGGGCGAAGAUGACACCUUCCCGCACGCCGCCGUUGUCGUAAUCGUCCGAGUGAAGGUCGCUUUGAAGUGACGCAGCUGCGCGCUUUAGGGGAAUCCAGAGAAAUUAAAGAUCAUGUGAAGAAAUUAAAAACCAGAGCAUUGAAUCAGAGAUAGAGAAAAAUGGUGGGGAAUGGGUGAGCCUCACCCAGGACAAUUUAGGAUAAUACAGCAAGGGAAGGGAGGUAGGCAG